UUCCCAGUAGCGCAAUUGGCUAGCGCACGGUACCUAUAAUGUCGAUGUUGUGAGUUCGUGCCUCACCUGGGGAA